rnacentral:rRNA from 1 species
CCNGCCCAAUGUUAUUAAAUGGCUGCAGUAUAUUGACUGUACAAAGGUAGCAUAAUCACUUGUCUCUUAAUUGGAGUCUGGAAUGAAUGGUUGGAUGAGAAUUUUCCUUUCUUUAUUUUUUAUAAAAAAAUUAAUUUUUAAAUUAAAAAGUUUAAAUAUUUAUAGAGGACGAGAAGACCCUAUAGAACUUUAUUCCUCGAAAAUAAUUGGGUUUUUGAAAAUAAUUUUUUAUUAUUUUAGUGGGGAAUUUUGUUGGGGUGACAGAAAAAAUUUUAUAACUUUUUUUAUUUUUAGGCAUUUAUUUAUGUGUUUUUGAUCCUUUAUUAUGGAAAUAAGAUUAAGGUUACCUUAGGGAUAACAGCGUUAUUGUUUUAGAGAGUUCAUAUUGAUAAAAUAGUUUGCGACCUCGAUGUUGGAUUAAAAUUAGUUUCAGGAGCAGAAGAUUGAUUAACUAGGUCUGUUC